GGGGAUGUGGCUCAGUGGUAGAGUACCUGCCUGGCAUGUGGGAGGCCCUGGGUUUGAUCUCUGGCAUCUCAA
rnacentral:tRNA from 1 species